rnacentral:rRNA from 1 species
UUUAUCGGAGAGUUUGAUCCUGGCUCAGGACGAACGCUGGCGGCGUGCCUAAUACAUGCAAGUCGAGCGGACAGAUGGGAGCUUGCUCCCUGAUGUUAGCGGCGGACGGGUGAGUAACACGUGGGUAACCUGCCUGUAAGACUGGGAUAACUCCGGGAAACCGGGGCUAAUACCGGAUGGUUGUUUGAACCGCAUGGUUCAGGCAUAAAAGGUGGCUUCGGCUACCACUUACAGAUGGACCCGCGGCGCAUUAGCUAGUUGGUGAGGUAACGGCUCACCAAGGCGACGAUGCGUAGCCGACCUGAGAGGGUGAUCGGCCACACUGGGACUGAGACACGGCCCAGACUCCUACGGGAGGCAGCAGUAGGGAAUCUUCCGCAAUGGACGAAAGUCUGACGGAGCAACGCCGCGUGAGUGAUGAAGGUUUUCGGAUCGUAAAGCUCUGUUGUUAGGGAAGAACAAGUGCCGUUCAAAUAGGGCGGCACCUUGACGGUACCUAACCAGAAAGCCACGGCUAACUACGUGCCAGCAGCCGCGGUAAUACGUAGGUGGCAAGCGUUGUCCGGAAUUAUUGGGCGUAAAGGGCUCGCAGGCGGUUUCUUAAGUCUGAUGUGAAAGCCCCCGGCUCAACCGGGGAGGGUCAUUGGAAACUGGGGAACUUGAGUGCAGAAGAGGAGAGUGGAAUUCCACGUGUAGCGGUGAAAU